AUACUUACCUAGCAGGGGAAAUACCAUGAUCAAAAACAUGGUUUCCCCAGAGUGAGGCUCUUCCAUUGCAGUUUGGUAGAGUUGACCCCCUGUGAUUUCCCCAAAUGUGGGAAACUCAACUAAAUAAUUUUGGGGGGGGUUACGGUUGUCUGAUUAAUAUCUU